rnacentral:rRNA from 1 species
UACGGGGGGGACAAGCGUUGUUCGGAAUUACUGGGCGUAAAGGGCGCGUAGGCGGCCUGCUAAGUCGGAUGUGAAAUCCCUCGGCUCAACCGAGGAACUGCAUCCGAUACUGGCGGGCUUGAAUCCGGGAGAGGGAUGUGGAAUUCCAGGUGUAGCGGUGAAAUGCGUAGAUAUCUGGAGGAACACCGGUGGCGAAGGCGGCAUCCUGGACCGGUAUUGACGCUGAGGCGCGAAAGCUAGGGGAGCAAACGGG